GGAAACGACCCGUCGCUGGCUAUGAGGCUAGAGGAAACAUCCCACACCCACACCCAAGAUACGUAUCUUGGGUGUAGCAGGUUGCCUCCUGAAAAGGAGGGCAGAUCCUUUUUGGGAUCUGACGACUAGUGCCGCAGAGACGAGUCGCUUUUUAAAGCGGGUGAAACGUGGUAAACUUCCGGCCGGGUGCAACUCAAAUAGGGAAGCGCUAAGCGCUGAUCCCGGGUAGAGGCAGUCGCUUCGGCGGCACCGGUUUCGCCGGUAGAUAGAUGACGGGAUAGAACAGAAUGGGAGUUAUGGUU
rnacentral:RNase_P_RNA from 1 species